UACGGAGGGUGCGAGCGUUGUCCGGAAUCAUUGGGCGUAAAGGGCGCGUAGGUGGCGCGGUCAGUUCGUGGUGAAAGCGCGGGGCUCAACCCCGCGUCGGCCAUGAAUACUGCUGGGCUGGAGCACUGUAGAGGCAGGCGGAAUUCCGGGUGUAGCGGUGGAAUGCGUAGAGAUCCGGAAGAACACCGGUGGCGAAGGCGGCCUGACUGGGCCAGUUGCUGGACACUGAGGCGCGACAGCG
rnacentral:rRNA from 1 species